UAUAGAUGGAUUACCACUAUUCAGAAGCAGUAGACUUCAGUUCUGGCCAAUUCUUGCUAUGGUAAAUGUGGAUUACACCAGAUUUCCCUUCCUUGUUGGCCUGUUCUGUGGCCUUAGCAAGCCUAAAAGUGCAUCUGAAUUCUUGGGCCCAUUUAUUAAGGACCUUAAUGACAUUUUGAAGAGAGGUAUAAUUUAUAAAGGGCAGCAUCUAAUGGCAAAAGUGUGCUCAUUCAUUUGCGAUGCCCCUGCACGAGCCUUUAUUAAAAACACAAAGGGUCACAAUGGUUACUCUGGUUGCGAAUGCUUUCAAGUGGGUGAAUGGCAGGGCAAAAUGACCUUUCCUGAUGUCAAUGCUAAAUUAAAAACUGACACAGACUUCGCCUCCAUGAUUGAUGAGGACCACCACUUGAGUCGAACACAGUCUCCCCUAGUUGGUGUUGUGAAAAUGGUGACAAUGUUCCAAUUAGACUACAUGCAUUUAUGUUGUCUUGGGGUAACCAGGGAGCUUCUGUAUAUUUGGAUGAGGGGCAAAUGUCUUGCAACUAGGUUGGGCAGUAAAACAAUUGGGGAGAUUUCUGUGAAGUUGAAGGCACUGACACCUUACACUCCAACUGAGUUCAGUCGCAAACCCAGAGAACUCUCAGAAAUUGAUAGGUGGAAAGCAACUGAACUCCGGUAUUUUAUGCUAUACGCUGGCCCUGUAGUGCUGAGAGAUACGAUUCCCCUGGAGAUGUUUAACAACUUUAUGUUGUUUUCUGUUGCUAUGCAUCUCCUUUUAUCUCCUGGGACAUCAGAGAAAAUGGUGGACUGUGCUCACGAAUUGCUAAUUUCAUUUGUGAGUCACUUUGGGCAGCUAUAUGGCAGAACUGAAAUAACUUACAAUGUCCACCAGCUGACACACCUGGCAGCAGAAUAUCAUCUCUAUGGUCCCUUAUAUAACAUUGCUGCCUUUCCUUAUGAGAACUAUUUGGCCCAACUAAAACAUUUACUGCGCAAACCUCAUUUGCCUUUGCAGCAAAUAGUGAAAAGGCUUUCUGAAAGAGACCCUCAGACAACCCAAAUCAACAAAGGCAACAAAUUCAUGCACCUCCAUCAUGAUGGCCCAUUGGUGUCUCAUAUAGAACAUGGGGAGCAGUAUAGAAAGGUUGUAACUAAACAUUUCACCUUAUCAUGUAGGUUUGGGGAUAAUUGCAUCCAGAUAGUUGAUGACAUCGCUCUUGUUGACAACAUAGUCAACGUAGCUCAGGAAACAUGUGAUUUUCCGGAAAUUUACAAGGAAGGAGUCAUAUGUCCAAUACCCCUUUGAAUCAGCCAACAUUGACUGUUACAAAGUGUGGGACUUAAGCAGCAGUGUUGGUGUUGUAAAGCUCCAAAUAAUAAAAAAUAUAUAUAUACUUUUCCCCGAUAAAAAAAAGAGUUCAUUGCCAUUCCCCUCAUACAUACAAAGUAAAUCAUUUUUGUAAAAUCAGUUCAUAAAAUCAGUUCAUGUAUUAAUAACCAACCAUUAUCUUUACCAUAAACAAAUAGUAUGAAGCAGUGGUGCCUUGUGCAGUUCAACAGUGGUGGAACAGAAGUUGUGCCACACAUAUGGCGUCAGGGGGAGAAGGUUUUCUGGCCUCCAUACCCUCCAAAAGAGUCGGGCAAGGUUCGUGCUGCCAUCAGGAGGAGGGAUGAACCAACAGGAGAAUGGCAGACUUAUGAGCCUGUCAGGGUCCUCAUAAGCCGAGAUACCUUUGAGGAAGCAGAGAGGUGCCUGGAAAGGUAUUUGAAGCAGCAAUGCAACACUACCGACAUCCAAACAGGAGGAGUGCCAACAGCCUCUGAAAAGGAGAAAGAAACCAAAUCCAAUCUACAACAACUUGGAUGACUCUGAUGGAGAUGGCCAACCUCGGAGUAGCUCCCAACAUUUUGUUCCCAGCCUCCAGCCCUCUGCAGUCUCCCUCUCCAUCCUCCCAACUCCAACCUCUAGCCCCAGCGAAUUGCCAGACCAUUUUUGUAAAGCCAACCAGCUACAAGACCCUGCCCGCCCCAGCCAGCUGCCAGUCUCCGCUGCCCUACCCCAACAAUCAACCCAUUACCUUCUCUGCUGAAGAUUUUCAGUUCCCCCUCCAGUCAUUGCCAGUGGCUUCUGCGUGUACUCCCCGGUCUGCAGCCAAUUUCUCUCCAGAAGUUGUCACAGACUCAAGAGACUCCGCCAGGCAGCUUUUAAAAGGCAAGUGCAAAACUAAGAUUAUUAUAAGAUUCCAUUUACAGUAUAUAUGAACGGAAUGGCUCUGUGAUUGAAAUACCUAAAGAUUACAGUGGUUUGCGUUCUCUAUGGAACAGUUAAAAACUAUAUCUGCAUUAAAUAUUGUGAUUGGUUGUUGAUUGGUCGCUAGGUUAAAUCCCCUACCUAUAGCAUUUAACAUCCCUCAUAUAUAUUUGAAAUUGUGUUGACCAUUUCUUUAUUUUACGCUUUUUUUUUUCCAC